UGUGUGAGAGGGGGACAGUGAGAGAGUGGGAGAGGAACAGAGGAGAUGUGGGGAGGGGAGGAAGCUAUUUAUUUCUGCCUGGGAGAGGCACUGGAGGGAAGGGGUGUUGAGGGUGUGGGUGAGAGACAGGGAGCGAGAGGGAGUGUGAGAGAGAGAGAGGAGGGGGGUGCCUGAUGGUGGAGUAGAGAGAAUUUGUGUAUGAGUGGGGGGAAAGUGUGGGGAGAGUGUGGGGAUAGGGGAGAGAGGAAUGUAUAUGUGCAAUGUAUAUCUUUAAGGGACAUUGGUCAGGUAGCAUUUGGAGUAUUGCAUA